rnacentral:tRNA from 1 species
GCCACCCUAGCUCAGCUGGUAGAGCAACUGAUUCGUAAUCAGUAGGUCNNUUCAAAUCCGAUGGGUGGCUCCA